GAUGAACGCUGGCGGCGUGCCUAAUACAUGCAAGUCGAGCGAACAGACGAGGAGCUUGCUCCUCUGACGUUAGCGGCGGACGGGUGAGUAACACGUGGAUAACCUACCUAUAAGACUGGGAUAACUUCGGGAAACCGGAGCUAAUACCGGAUAAUAUAUUGAACCGCAUGGUUCAAUAGUGAAAGACGGUUUUGCUGUCACUUAUAGAUGGAUCCGCGCCGCAUUAGCUAGUUGGUAAGGUAACGGGUUACCAAGGCGACGAUGCGUAGCCGACCUGAGAGGGUGAUCGGCCACACUGGAACUGAGACACGGUCCAGACUCCUACGGGAGGCAGCAGUAGGGAAUCUUCCGCAAUGGGCGAAAGCCUGACGGAGCAACGCCGCGUGAGUGAUGAAGGUCUUCGGAUCGUAAAACUCUGUUAUUAGGGAAGAACAAAUGUGUAAGUAACUAUGCACGUCUUGACGGUACCUAAUCAGAAAGCCACGGCUAACUACGUG
rnacentral:rRNA from 1 species